GGUCGCUUAGCUCAGUUGGUUAGAGCGUGGUGCUAAUAUUGGCAGUCCUCCCAGAGGACUAGAAGUUGACGCCAAGGUCGCGAGUUCGACCCUCGUAGUGACCA
rfam:Diplodia corticola strain CBS 112549 scaffold6, whole genome shotgun sequence.